rnacentral:rRNA from 1 species
UACGAAGGACCCGAGCGUUAUCCGGAUUUAUUGGGUUUAAAGGGUGCGUAGGCGGAACAGUAAGUCAGUGGUGAAAGCCUGUUGCUUAACAACAGAAUUGCCAUCGAUACUGCUGAUCUUGAGUACAUAUGAUGUGGGCGGAAUGUGCCAUGUAGCGGUGAAAUGCUUAGAUAUGGCACAGAACACCGAUUGCGAAGGCAGCUCACAAAACUGUUACUGACGCUGAGGCACGAAAGCGUGGGGAUCAAACAGG